rnacentral:lncRNA from 1 species
UCUUUUCAGCUUCAGUCCAGGAGGUAUCCUCCCUCGGACUGAGAUGUCAACGCAUGGGCCCCUCUCACAUCUUUGUAGCGUUUUAGGAAUGUGGAUCCUUUCUUCAUGUCAAUCCAGUAACGAGGAGUUUACUCCAAAUUUGUUUCUUAUUAAACCCUGUGACUACUGAGGACAGAAGUAGGAUUGGUGAUGGAUGCCACUGAGAAAACUAUUUGAUAUAAAGAACUUUCUGACAACCAGAGCUGUGCAAUCCAGAAGAAGCCUGCCGUCAGAGGACCUGAGUUCCUGGUGGGGAGAGACAGACAGGAGAGGGAACUCGCCGCUGGCUGGGGAAGACCAUCUACUCAGAGCCGGGGACACGCGGAUCUACCGCACUGUGCUGGUGCUGAGGACAGGCCUUUAUUGGGCUUAUUUCUGGAUUUCGGGACACAUGGUAAACGUUCAGUAAAUACAUUGUUAACAAAUGAAGAAAUAGCACAGAGGACCUUGCAUUUGUUGAGCGGUGCAGUGGAUAGAGAAAGUUUAAGAUCCCUUAACUGAAAUUCUUGGAAGGGCUUGUUGUCCUGUGGAAAACGAAUUGGACAGUAAGGGUACAAUGUCAUGGCCUCACCUUGAAGGCAUUUACAGUCUAGAAAGACUGUUCCAUAAAGACCAAUUCCAUACUGUGAAAACUAUAAUUGCAUCACGGACAAGAGUGAAUCGAUGUAUAGAGGACAGAGCCCCAUUGAUUGAAGGGGACCAAUCUACUAAGUAUCUGCUGAAAGAAGAUUUGGAGCUCUGAAGACAACCCUUUGAAGCCCUGUGGCUCCUGGGACAGCGCCCCUCCUAUAUGAAGUCCAACGGGAUAAUAGAGGGUGCCCAAAAGCAGAAGAGAUACGUGCAAGAUGCACGUUCACGCUGUUCCUUGCCACCUCAUUGGCAUCCCAUUCAAGAUGCUCACUGGCACAGAAUUCCAGUGAGCCCGCAUUGCAUGGGAGUUCAGCAAGACCCAACGCAAGUACAAAGUAAGCAUGUUCUGUCUGACUGAGUGAGAAGGGGUGCUGACUGCUCUGAAGGGCCAAGCUUUCCACUUGAAUCAGAACUUUUUCAAAUGCAGAAGAAAGGCAAUGGCACUCUAAGACACAUGAACAACCAGGAGUGCUAACAUAUCUUUGUUACUCGUUAU